CAAUGCGGUAGUGCGGACGUUCCGAUCCGU
rnacentral:sRNA from 1 species